ACCCAUUACAGCUCUUUUAGAAUUUGUCUAGCAGGUUUUCUGGUCUCCACCAGAAGACUCCC
ensembl:snRNA U7 U7 small nuclear RNA